rnacentral:rRNA from 1 species
GACGAACGCUGGCGGCGUGCUUAACACAUGCAAGUCGAACGGUGAAAGCGGAGCUUGCUCCGCUGGAUCAGUGGCGAACGGGUGAGUAACACGUGGGCAACCUGCCCCUCACUUCGGGAUACCUCCGGGCAACCGGGGCUAAUACCGGAUAUGACCUCCUUGGGCAUCCUUGGAGGUGGACAGUUUUUCGGUGAGGGAUGGGCCCGCGGCCUGUCAGCUUGUUGGUGAGGUAGUGGCUCACCAAGGCGACGACGGGUAGCCGGCCUGAGAGGGCGACCGGCCACACUGGGACUGAGACACGGCCCAGACUCCUACGGGAGGCAGCAGUGGGGAAUAUUGCGCAAUGGGCGAAAGCCUGACGCAGCAACGCCGCGUGCGGGAUGACGGCCUUCGGGUUGUAAACCGCUUUCAGCAGGGAAGAAGCCGCAAGGUGACGGUACCUGCAGAAGAAGCACUGGCUAACUACGUGCCAGCAGCCGCCGCAG